GCAAACUUGGUCAUUUAGAGGAAGUAAAAGUCGUAACAAGGUUUCCGUAGGUGAACCUGCGGAAGGAUCAUUAAUGAAUUCAAAGCUUUUGAAGUUGAUUGCUGGCCUUUAGGGGCAUGUGCACGCUUCAUUAGUUCCCCUUUACACCCCUGUGCACCUUUGAUAGAUUUCGUUUGGGAUUUGGAAUACAAGUACGGCUUCACUGCUGAAUUUUGACCUUGUCCUUUACGAUCUCUAUACUAUACACACCCCAAAACGUAUGUUAUAAUGAAUGUUAUUAUUACAAGGCCAUGCGCCUUAUAAAAGUUAAUACAACUUUCAACAACGGAUCUCUUGGCUCUCGCAUCGAUGAAGAACGCAGC
rnacentral:misc_RNA from 1 species